rnacentral:tRNA from 1 species
GGAGGAAUGGCCGAGUGGUCGAUGGCGGCAGUCUUGAAAACUGUUGAUCCGCAAGGGUCCGGGGGUUCGAAUCCCUCUUCUUCCGCAA